rnacentral:rRNA from 1 species
UACGGGGGGAGCAAGCGUUGUUCGGAUUUACUGGGCGUAAAGGGCGCGUAGGCGGUAGCACAAGUCAGUUGUGAAAUCUCCGGGCUUAACUCGGAAAGGUCAACUGAUACUGCAGGGCUAGAGUGCAGAAGGGGCAACUGGAAUUCUCGGUGUAGCGGUGAAAUGCGUAGAUAUCGAGAGGAACACCUGCGGCGAAGGCGGGUUGCUGGGCUGACACUGACGCUGAUGUGCGAAAGCCAGGGGAGCGAACGGG